CUGGAGAAGGAAAUGAUAACCCACUCCAGUAUUCUUGCCUGGAGAAUCUCUUUGGACACGGCUGAGCGACUUCACUUACACUGACCAGUAGCAAAGCUUGAACUCAAAUGUGGGCUGAUCUAUACCAUAUGAUUCACAACUCAUUUUAUCAGCAUCUUCAAGAAUCUUAACCCAGUUUCUGACUGUGUGUGAUGUAGUCAUUGUCUUGUGUAUUUGAUCUGCCAAUGCAAAGAGGAAUGAGCUUCUCUCUCCAGAGAAUUGCCACACAUCAGAGAAAUCAAGAUGAAUGCUUUCCCAUUUCAUUUCUCUUCCUUCUUGGAUCUAGGUUGUUACAGUGAAAUUUGGAUACUUUCUCAUUUACAAUUUUGAUUUCUUCUCAAUCAUUUAACUGCGUUUUAAAUUUCUCUUUUGUUUAUGCUUUUUGUUUUGGAUCCUAAUUGUAGACUCCAUUAAAGUGAAAAUUAAACAUUCAAGUUAAAUAUUCAAUUCAGUA
rnacentral:lncRNA from 1 species